ACUCAUUAUUUAUUACUUGAAAUCAAAAUUUAGUUCGUUUUUAAUCGAAAACCUGGUUAUUUUCAAUAAGUGUGUAGUUUGCAAACGAUAGGUUGAAAUAUGGGAAAAAAAGAAAAAAAAAAUCUAACAAAAAACGAAUAUCCAUGGCAAAAACAGCAGCAGUAGAAGCAGCAGUAGAAACCGGCUGGAAUAAUUUGGAAGAACAUGGCAGAUCUUGAGGCCUUUCAUUGGUUCAGGAAACCAUCGACUGCUGCUGACUUCCGUUAUACACCCAGUGCCAUCCUUGGAAGCCGAUGGAGAUGAUCCGGGUUUGGUAAUCAUGCCAUUAUCAACAGCAACACCGUUUGGGAGGAUUUGGAAGAGGUACCGCUGCAACUGUUGCCUGAAGCUGGGAAAAAAAGAUGACUCGAUUCUGCAGAUCGAUAUUGAUCCCGGUGUGACGGAAACUUUCUCAGCAGGAAAAAAAUGGAAGCAGAAUUCCAGGUUUGUCAUGUGGAACUGGCAACGCUUACACUACUCCCGCCUUUUAUGUGUAUGGACACCCUGUGUUUGUCGUUCGGGCGCACCUUCUGUGCGUACGGUUACCGAUUGCAUCUGCAAUGUUCUUUUGUCUUUCGACACGAUACCACGCGUCUUUAAUCGCUGUUAAUAAAAGUCUAAGGCCGAUGACAUAGUGAGUGCGAUGCGAUGCGAAUU